CUUAUACUCCCUCCGUUAGGAAAUACUUGUCAUUGAAAUGGAUGUAUCUAGAUGUAUUUUAGUUCUACAUACAUCCAUUUUGAUGACAAGUAAUUCUAAAUGGAGGGAAUAUUUA
rfam:Triticum aestivum genome assembly, contig: Triticum_aestivum_CS42_TGACv1_scaffold_324701_4BL